GCAGAACGCGAAGAACCUUACCCAGACUUGACAUCUAUCAAAUCCGGCCCAAAAGUUGGAGUGCCCGCAAGGGAAUGGUAAGACAGGUGCUGCAUGGCUGUCGUCAGCUCGUGUCGUGAGAUGUUGGGUUAAGUCCCGCAACGAGCGCAACCCUCGCCUUUAGUUGCUCCGCAAGGAGAUCUCUAGAGGGACCGCCAGUGAUAAGCUGGAGGAAGGUGGGGAUGACGUCAAGUCCUCAUGGCCUUUAUGUCUGGGGCUACACACGUGCUACAAUGGCGAGUACAAAGCGUUGCCAACCCGCGAGGGGGAGCUAAUCGCAUAAAACUUGUCUCAGUUCGGAUCGGAGUCUGCAACUCGGCUUCGUGAAGUCGGAAUCGCUAGUAAUCGCGGAUCAGCACGCCGCGGUGAAUACGUUCCCGGGUCUUGUACACACCG
rnacentral:rRNA from 1 species